AGAAGUGUGCCCGAGAUUAGGGGUUAUUUUGAUAGGAUAAACACAGAGACUCACACCUCUCACUUCCA
rnacentral:tRNA from 1 species